AACGAACGCUGGCGGCAGGCCUAACACAUGCAAGUCGAGCGAAACCUUCGGGUUUAGCGGCGGACGGGUGAGUAACGCGUGGGAACGUGCCUUUCACUACGGAAUAGUCCCGGGAAACUGGGUUUAAUACCGUAUACGCCCUUCGGGGGAAAGAAUUUCGGUGAAAGAUCGGCCCGCGUUAGAUUAGGUAGUUGGUGGGGUAAUGGCCUACCAAGCCUACGAUCUAUAGCUGGUUUUAGAGGAUGAUCAGCCACACUGGGACUGAGACACGGCCCAGACUCCUACGGGAGGCAGCAGUGGGGAAUCUUAGACAAUGGGCGCAAGCCUGAUCUAGCCAUGCCGCGUGAGUGACGAAGGCCCUAGGGUCUAAAGCUCUUUCGCCAGGGAUGAUAAUGACAGUACCUGGUAAAGAACCCG
rnacentral:rRNA from 1 species